GACGAACCGUGCGAACGUUGUUCGGAAUCACUGGGCUUAAAGGGUGCGUAGGCGGCGCAGAAAGUAGGGUGUGAAAUCCCUCGGCUCAACCGAGGAACUGCGCCCUAAACUACUGUGCUCGAGGGAGGUAGAGGUGAGCGGAACUUAGGGUGGAGCGGUGAAAUGCGUUGAUAUCCUAAGGAACACCGGUGGCGAAAGCGGCUCACUGGACCUCUUCUGACGCUGAGGCACGAAAGCUAGGGUAGCGAACGGG
rnacentral:rRNA from 1 species